AAAAAUUGGAAACGUAUUAGUUUGCUCAUCCUGUGUAUGUUUAUUAGCCUGUUGUUGAAUGUGUUUGGCCUCUUGGUGUAUUUUUUGAUUAUUAUAGGCUGAUGCAUGCUUGAGAUUUGAUUGGAUUUUCUGAUUGGGGUGCUUUAUGAGAGGUUCAUUCGAUGGACUGCGUUAUGAGUGCAUGACUCUCAUAAGAACACAGAAGAAAGCGUGUGUAUGCAUGAGGGUUUAUAAACAAUUCAGACCAUUGUUUAGAGAAUUGUUGGUGUAUAUGGAGACCUUGCCCAGCACCGAGUUUUACACAACUUUUAUACAAGGACUUACUCUCUCCAUUCAGGAGAAAUUGGGA
ensembl:lncRNA